rnacentral:lncRNA from 1 species
GCAUCAUUCCCAAGAGAAUCUGGAGUAGAUGUAUCCAGAAUAUAGGAGAUUUUCUUCUGAGUGGGAAUAAUUCUCAAGUUCUUUAACUAGUCAACAUAGUUGGAACCAGUCAACUUGUUUGCAUCUAGGAUACCUCACAGUGAAAGUGAGGAUGCCAUGUGUAUAGUUAAUCUAUAACAACAGAAACAUAAUAUAAGCGGAUAAGUCAUGAUGAC